UGAGAGAGAGAGAGUGAGUGUGUGUGUGUAUGUGUGGGGGAGGGAGAGGUCGGUAGGUAGUGCACUGCUCGGCGGCGGAGCGGGCCUGGCCGCCUAUAGAGCACUCAUAAAUGACUGGCUCGAAGAGUCUGGCUUGGUAAAAUCAUCACCCUUGUCAAAGAGCAGCAAACUUGACGAUCCAGGGAGCAUCAUGCGGCUAUACAGCUUUCUAAUGAAAAAUUCCAUUCCCAAACAGAUCGAAUAUUACUCUCGGUUCUCCCCAUCUCCUCUAUCCAUAAAGCAAUUUCUGGAUUUCGGCCGUGACAAUGCAUGUGAAAAGACAUCUUUUAUGUUCUUACGAAAGGAGCUACCGGUUCGAUUGGCUAAUACAAUGAGAGAAGUGAACUUGUUGCCUGAUAACCUGCUCAGCAGGCCCUCUGUGAGACUUGUUCAGAGCUGGUAUAUGCAGAGUUUUUUAGAACUGCUAGAGUUUCAGAACAAAGGCCCUGAAGAUCCUCCUGUGUCGGAUAAUUUUCUAGAAUCUCUGAUUAAAAUCCGAAAUCGACACAAUGAUGUGGUGCCAACCAUGGCUCAGGGAGUUAUUGAAUAUAAGGAAAAGUAUGGCUUUGACCCAUUUAUUAGUAGUAACAUUCAAUACUUUCUGGACCGUUUCUAUACCAGCCGUAUUUCAUUUCGGAUGCUAAUCAACCAACACACUCUGCUGUUUGGGGGCAACACAAAUCCAGCACAUCCUAAGCAUAUUGGAAGUAUUGAUCCAAACUGCAAUGUUGCUGAUGUUGUUAAAGAUGCAUAUGAGACUGCAAAGAUGCUAUGUGAACAGUAUUACAUGGGAUCCCCAGAACUGGAGAUUUAUGAAUUUAAUGCUAAAACACCUGUGAAACCUAUCCAAGUGGUGUAUGUACCCUCACAUCUCUUUCACAUGUUGUUCGAACUUUUCAAAAAUUCAAUGAGAGCUACUGUGGAACUUCAUGAAGGGAGAAAAGAAGGUUACCCUCCGAUCAAAACUUUGGUGACAUUGGGGAAAGAAGAUUUGUCUAUUAAGAUAUCUGAUAAAGGGGGCGGUGUUCCUCUGCGGAAGAUUGACCGUCUAUUUAAUUAUAUGUAUUCAACUGCUCCCAGCCCCAGCUUGCAACCAUCACAGGCUGCUCCUCUGGCUGGAUUUGGAUAUGGCUUGCCAAUCUCCCGCCUAUAUGCUCGGUAUUUUCAAGGGGACCUCAAACUGUAUUCCAUGGAAGGCGUGGGUACAGAUGCAGUCAUCUAUCUUAAGGCUCUGUCAAGUGAGUCAUUUGAACGACUUCCUGUUUUUAACAAAUCAGCUUGGCGGCAUUACCAGACCACUCCAGAAGCAGAUGAUUGGAGCAAUCCUAGCAGUGAACCUAGGGAUGCUUCCAAGUACAAGGCCAACCGGUAAUCCUGUUCUAUCCUCAGCCUGAUGACCAGUGUUCUGGUUUCAUAGAAACCCAAGCUUUGUGUGUUUCUUCCCUUGGAUCCAUCAACAGCAGAUGGCCAAUACAAAACAAAGAACUCUGGGACAUUUAGGUUGCAGCCAAGUGGAGAGGAGGAAAUCUGGGAACUUCUGGGCACCAACAGAAGAAAAUCCAAGUUGUCAAGUAUUGUUCAGAACAAUGUUUAAAUUCCUCCUCACAAAAACAGUAGUAUUGUCUUUAAUUAAGUAAGACUUGUAUUUUCUUUAAAAUAGGUUUUGGUGUUUUUUAGCACUUCAAAAUUAAAGCUAAAGUUAAAUAUAUUCAAUUGAUACCAACUCUUGGUUUCAUGUUCUUAACUGCCAUAAAUCUUUUCAGUACUGAUACCACCAUGCUUGCUUAUAUUCUGAUGCUGUGUUACUUCCAAUGUGUGAAGCUGCUCCAAAACUCAUCAAACAAAACACAUUUCAUAUUCUUCCAAUUUGCUGGAGGGCUACUGUACUGACAGAAAUACCCAAGUUUAAUUGUUUCAAGAAAAACAAUACAUAUUGGAAAAAAUGAAUAUUAGCUGGUUAUUUGGCCCAUAUUGCAUUUGUACUAAAGAUGUUUAACAUUGGGAUUCCAUAGCUGGUCUGAUUCAAUUCUGUUCUGGUGAGAAGAUCUCGGUGAAGUCUUUUCCAGUAUUCAAGAUUACAAUAACUCCUAUGUAUCUGCUGUCAAAAUAAUGUAAAUAAACCUGGGGCAACUCUCCAGGCAGACUUUAGUAAGCUCAUAGCUACUUUGGACUUAUAAGAUAGGGUCAGAUUGAGAGGGCUCUUCGCUCAUUUGAUCUCAUUCUUCCAUAGGUUCAAACAUAGUGUGCCAGAUCUUGCCAGAGUCGGGAUCUCACAGUGUGAUCUAUUAAUUAAAUGCUUUUCUGCGCCUUUCAACUCAAUGUUUUUGCAUUGUAAGUUGCUUGAAGUGUGAGUUGACGACAGUUUGGCAAGGGCAAAUGGGCAUGUGGGGCCUCAAUGAACAUCAAAACCAAAGAUGCAUCCCUUUAACCAAUGUGAUUUAAAGAUAAAGAAGGAAACAAGGUCAACUAAGAAAGUGGAUGAACUAAAGUCAAAUCAGAUA